UAGUAUAUAGACUUCUCCUGAAGUUUAUAUUAAACAUUUAUGGCUAUUAGAUGGGUAUGCGUCCUAUUAGUUAGUUGGUAAGGUAACGGCUUACCAAGGCAGCGAUAGGUAGGGGUCCUGAGAGGGAGAUCCCCACACUGGUACUGAGACACGGACCAGACUCCUACGGGAGGCAGCAGUGAGGAAUAUUGGACAAUGGGCGAGAGCCUGAUCCAGCCAUGCCGCGUGCAGGAAGACUGCCCUAUGGGUUGUAAACUGCUUUUACAGAGGAAGAACCACCCCCACGUGUGGGGGUUUGACGGUACUCUGCGAAUAAGGAUCGGCUAACUCCGUG
rnacentral:rRNA from 1 species